AGGACGAACGCUGGCGGCGUGCUUAACACAUGCAAGUCGAGCGGAAAGGCCCUUCGGGGUACUCGAGCGGCGAACGGGUGAGUAACACGUGAGUAAUCUGCCCAUCGCUUCAGGAUAGCCAUCGGAAACGGUGAUUAAUACUGGAUAUGACAUUCCUUCGCAUGUUGGGGUGUGGUAAAGUUUUUUCGGCGGUGGAUGUGCUCGCGGCCUAUCAGCUUGUUGGUGGGGUAAUGGCCUACCAAGGCUUUGGACGGGUA
rnacentral:rRNA from 1 species